UACGUAGGGGGCAAGCGUUGUCCGUAAUCAUUGGGCGUAAAGAGCUCGUAGGCGGCUCAGCAAGUCGGGUGUGAAAACUCCAGGCUCAGCCUGGAGAGGCCACCCGAUACUGCUGUGGCUAGAGUCCAGUAGAGGAGUGUGGAACUCCCAGUGUAGCGGUGAAAUGCGCAGAUAUUGGGAAGAACACCAGCGGCGAAGGCGGCACUCUGGGCUGGUACUGACGCUGAGGAGCUAAAGCGUGGGUAGCAAACAGG
rnacentral:misc_RNA from 1 species